UGCACUCAUGACUGUAAGUCGCUUUGGAUAAAAAAAAAGUGUCUGCUAAAUAGCACAUA
rfam:Salmo salar isolate Sally breed double haploid chromosome ssa09, whole genome shotgun sequence.